AUUGAACGCUGGCGGCACGCCUAACACAUGCAAGUCGAGCGGCAGCGAGACUAGUAGCAAUACUAGUUGUCGGCGAGCGGCGGACGGGUGAGUAACACGUAGGAAUCUGCCCUUAAGCGGGGGAUAACCAAGGGAAACUUUGGCUAAUACCGCAUAAUCUCGAGAGAGCAAAGCUGCCCGCAAGGGUGGCACUUGAGGAGGAGCCUGCGUCCGAUUAGCUAGUUGGUGGGGUAAUGGCCUACCAAGGCGAUGAUCGGUAACUGGUCUGAGAGGACGACCAGUCACACUGGGACUGGGACACGGCCCAGACUCCUACGGGAGGCAGCAGUGGGGAAUAUUGGACAAUGGGGGCAACCCUGAUCCAGCGAUGCCGCGCGAGUGAAGAAGGCCUUCGGGUCGUAAAGCUCUUUAGGUUGGGAAGAAGUGUAUUGGCUGAAUAAUCCAGUACAUUGACGGUACCGACAGAAUAAGCACCGGCAAACUCUGUGCCAGCAGCCGCGGUAAUAC
rnacentral:rRNA from 1 species